rnacentral:tRNA from 1 species
UGGCCUGUAGCUCAGUGGUGAGAGCAGUCGACUCAUAAUCGAUUGGUCGCGGGUUCGAAUCCCGCCGGGCCCACCA